UGUCAUAAUGUUAGUGGAGACAGGACUCGAACCUCUGUCUGUUUGGCUCUGGAGCCCUUGUCCUAUCUCAGAACUCCUCCAACCACAAGACUACAGAAAGCAUUUUUCAAAGGCUUCAGAGCCGCGCUCCUCAUCGCAGAACCAGCCACGGCCAGUGUGAUUAUUUCCUUUGGUGUACUGUCCCCUUGCUUUGCAUUUCCUGACAUUCAGGAAACGAAAGUCCGUUGCUUUAAAUCCACUUCUUCCACCGCAGACCUUGACUUCAAACCACAGACUCCUAUUCACGAGACGACUGACUCCUUGAUGCUUCCCUGAACCGCUCUGGCCGGCUCGAGCCUGUUCUUCCAGUGCCAGUAAAAUUCAGACAUGACUAAUCCAAAGGGAGGAGGCUAAAAUCCUCUUUUAUUAAUAAUUAGUACAACCUCUUGGUCCCUGAAGACAAUGGAAACAGGAUAAGCAGUCCAAGAAUUCAGUCUGUGGCAGCAGCUCCAUACCAGGUAGAAAUUCAUCCUCCUCCUGAAUCGCCAGGAACAGGAAGCUCUUGUCUCAGCAGGCAAACAGACAGACUUCUGAGGACUGAAAGCGACUUUCCUAAGUGUUAAUGUAAUUGGCUCCAGUCCCUUCUUCUGGAAUAAAAUAGAAAUCUCAGCUCCAAUGGUCUCAGCAAACAGCCUGUAGGGACUUUAUUCUUCAACUUGUCCAAUCAUUCAAUAAAUAUUCAUUAAACUCCAUUGGGUGCUAUUCACCAUAAUCUGUACUAUGAAUAUAAUGAUGAAAAAGUCAGACAGUAGUAGCUGUGUUGUAAAAAUGCAGUAACUGUGACUUCUCUACAUGUUCUUGGAAGGAAAAUUAUGAAAGGCCAACUUGAGUAAAUGGGAAGAACUGGUAAUGUGAAUUGGGGAAGGUACAUGAUUGUUCAAUAAACACAGGAUCUUAAUAAACUCAAAAUCUGUUAGUCAUUUCUGUUUUCUUGUAAAGGGGACUAGGGAGGAGGCAGAAAGUGCUGAAGCACAGGAUUUGACAUUAGAUAAGGCCAAAAGACUGCUCUAGUCUCCGAGGAAACAGAAGAGGUGCAGGUAGAUGCCAAGAAGGCCACAUGACAGGGAUCUUCUGGAUGUGUGGGGUCCAGUGAUGCUAGCUUUCCAA